rnacentral:rRNA from 1 species
AUGGCUCGUUUGUAUCCUGAUGAUUUUGAAAGUGAAAGCAAGAUUGAAGAUCUUAGCGUCCAACUUGACAACUUCCUUGAAAAUGUUCGCGAUGAUACAAGACUCUCCAAUUUAAAAGGGGUUAGUGAUCUUUGCAGAAAACUAGUUGAAACAAAGAAGUAUACUAGUUUUCCUCUAGUGUUUCUUUUGGUGAAGCUAGCAUUGAUUUUGCCAGUUGCAACGGCAACAGUUGAGAGAGCAUUUUCUGCAAUGAAAUAUAUCAAUUCUGAUUUGCGUAAUAGAAUAGGCGAUGAUUUCUUGUAUCAUUGUCUCAUUACUUAUGUUGAAACCGAUGUAUUCCAGUCUAUUAGUACUGAUGCUAUUAUGCAUGCAUGA